UCCCAGACUCCUACGGGAGGCAGCAGUGGGGAAUAUUGCACAAUGGGGGAAACCCUGAUGCAGCGACGCCGCGUGAGUGAAGAAGUAUUUCGGUAUGUAAAGCUCUAUCAGCAGGGAAGAAAUAGCGACCUUUGGGUCGCCAGACGGUACCUGACUAAGAAGCCCCGGCUAACUACGUGCCAGCAGCCGCGGUAAUACGUAGGGGGCAAGCGUUAUCCGGAUUUACUGGGUGUAAAGGGAGCGCAGACGGCUGUGCAAGUCCGGAGUGAAAGGCGGGGGCCCAACCCCCGGACUGCUCUGGAAACUGUAAAGCUGGAGUGCAGGAGAGGUAAGCGGAAUUCCUAGUGUAGCGGUGAAAUGCGUAGAUAUUAGGAGGAACACCAGUGGCGAAGGCGGCUUACUGGACUGCAACUGACGUUGAGGCUCGAAAGCGUGGGGAGCAAACAGGAUUAGAUACCCGAGUA
rnacentral:rRNA from 1 species